rnacentral:rRNA from 1 species
AGGGCCAAGAUCUUCACCAAGGUUCUUUCUUUGCGGCUUGCCCCCAUAUUGGACAGCUUGGUCAGUCGCAACCAGAAUGCGUUCAUCACCGGCAGGAGCCUCCAUGACAACUUCAUCCUCGUUAGGCAAUCCCUUAGGAUGCUUCACCAACUCGGGCCCCCUCGGAUCAUGCUCAAGCUUGACCUCACGCGCGCCUUUGACUCCAUAUCAUGGCCAUUCCUCUUUGAGGUUUUGCGCCAAUAUGGGUUCGGGGACAGAUUCCGGGAGUGGAUGGCGAUCCUGCUUUCGACGUCUAGCACCCGUGUCUUGAUGAACGGUGAGCCAGGCCCCCCGAUUUGGCACCGCAGUGGCCUGCGUCAGGGCGACUCCAUGUCUCCCCAACUCUUUGUCCUCGCUGUGGACACGCUUGGGCGGCUGAUGCGCCGCGCUCUCGACGUGGGCAUCCUGCAACAGUUGCAUCCCCGACGCCCGAUUCCGGUGAUCUCCCUCUACGCCGACGAUGUGAUACUUUUCUGCCACGCCACG